GCCACUGGAACAAUAAGUAACAUUCAAAGUGGUUCUAAAUGAUUACUUGGGAAAUCCAAUCCUAUUCAUGCCCUGAAAAUUCAUGGUGAACUUAUAUACGCUGCUGGCUCUUCCUUGGACGGAACUGCUAUAAAGAUAUGGAACAAUUCCAAUUACAGCAUGGUUGGAUCACUGCAAACUGGAUCAGAAGUGAGGGCUAUGGCAGUGAGCUCCGACUUAAUUUAUUUGGGGUGCAAGGGAGGUGUUGUAGAAAUUUGGGAUAAGAAGAAACACAUUAGAGUUGACACGUUACAGUUGGGUACAAAUUGUAAGGUUAAUUGCAUGACUCUAGAAAGCAAUGAAGAAAUUUUGGUGAUUGGAACUUCAGAUGGCCAAAUUCAGGCUUGGGAAAUGACUUAAAAGAAGAUACUUGUACAGGAAGACAAGUAUAUAGCUUAUAAUUCUAAAUUCAUUAAACCUUAAAAAUGCAAAUUUUUUAGGUUCAUUGGGGGCUGUAUAUAGCUCACAGGUUUAUACAUAAAAAAGCGUUGUACAUAUAUUGAUUUGCUAUUUAGAUAUGUAAUCAAGGAACAAAAGAUUUCUCUAUUUACCGGAACACUAAACACCACUAGUCUUGAUCAUGAUACAUCAUCAUUAAGGUAUAUCUUAGAGUCUCUAUGAAGAACACCUGGCGCCCACCGCGGGGCCGAGGUAAAGUAAUUUCAGGGCCACGCUUGGAAAAACAUAUAAGAUGGUGCAAGCCCAACCUUCACCCGGGGAGAUUGCGGCUUUUAUUGCAAUCCAGUCCACUAUGGACAAAUUGCAACGUUAAAAUGAGAUCUUGCAAGCAGAAGUUCAAUCCAUUCAGCUCUCUCAAUGUGGUGUGAGAAAAUGAUUUUCUUACUUGUUUUCCAUAUAUACAAGCUUCACAAUCAGCCAUGUUGUCUUCA